AGGCCUUCGGCUCCGCGCCUGCUCGUCCCUCGCCGGGCCUCCUCCUCGGGCCUCGUGCGCCGGCGUCCCUGACUUCUUCCUUGGCGUCCUCUCCCACCCAGGCCGCCCCCCGAUGUCUCCUCCCUCCUCCUCCCUUCCCCGGCCUCUCCCACAGAUCUGCGCCUUCCUUCCCCGGCCUCUUUCCAGGGCCGCCCUUCCCUGGCUCCAGCCUCAGUCCCGGUCCUUGGCUUUCCUGCUCCCUCAGGCCUCGGCUUCCUCCCAAACCUCCUCCCUUCCUCGUCCAGCCUCCCGCUGGUCGCUCUCUGGUCCUGGUCUGGGAGCCGCUUCUCUGGGUUUCCGUGGGCUGACGCCAGGGUACAGGACGGCAGGAGAGGCCUGCCCUGGCCCCCAGCGGUGCCGCCUGCUCGCGUGGGUCCUUAGGAUCUGUGUCUGCCAACAAGCCUGCGAUCAGCCCUUAUUCCUAACUUGGGACGGCAGGGUGUGGGUUUAGCCACCACGCACCACUGUCGCUUAUUCCUUUUGGAUGUGCUUUCGUGUUGUUUGGGGCAGUUUUUAGUUCACAGUGAAAUUUGAGUAGAGAGUGAUGUCUCUGUCCACACGGCCAUCUCUGACUUGGGGUUCCUAUGCAUGGUGGGAUGGCUUCCACUUUAAUUAGCUCCAUCAUGAUGCCAGCUGCGAAUGUAUUCUGUAGGCUGGAUGAAGAUACGGUGACAUUGUCUCCAGCAUGGCACCUCACAGCAUGAUCUCUGCCACAAAGCUCCUUUCAGGUGGCUGACCUUUACAUCCCAUAACCACUGUGUGGUGGAGAGGGUGGAAUGGGGCAGUCUACAAAGAUGGAGCCAAGGGCACUUCAGAACCCUCUGACCUCUGUUCCAACUGUGGUAUUGGUUUGGCAGGCUAUCUUGUCUCUGCAGACCUCUCAACCAGACAUAGAGAAAAAGAGGCAAAGAGAGAGAGGAAAAAUGGACACACCUGGGCAUCU